rnacentral:rRNA from 1 species
ACUUURCAAUGCGGGAAACCGUGACAGGGGAACUCCGAGUGCCCGUUAAAUCGGGCUGUCCAUCAGUUUAAAUAACUGGUGAAGAAAGGGCCGGGCAAGACCGGUGCCAGCCGCCGCGGUAAUACCGGCGGCUCGAGUGGUGGCCACUAUUACUGGGCUUAAAGCGUUCGUAGCUGGUUUGUUAAGUCUCUGGGGAAAUCUUCCGGCUUAACCGGAAGGCGUCUCAGGGAUACUGGCAGACUAGGGACCGGGCAGAGGUGAGGGGUACUCCAGGGGUAGGA